rnacentral:rRNA from 1 species
UACGUAGGGGGGCAAGCGUUUGUCCGGAUUUAUUGGGCGUAAAGAGCGUGUAGGCGGCUUUACAGGUCCGUUGUGAAAACUCGAGGCUCAACCUCGAGACGCCGGUGGAAACCGUAAGGCUAGAGUCCGGAAGAGGAGAGUGGAAUUCCUGGUGUAGCGGUGAAAUGCGCAGAUAUCAGGAGGAACACCCGUGGCGAAAGCGGCUCUCUGGGACGGUACUGACGCUGAGACGCGAAAGCGUGGGGAGCAAACAGG